CGAGUUCUCCUCCCCAUAUUUUUCUUCUCUUCCAACCCUAAGCGGUAUCGCGAAUCAAUCCAAGUUUUCAUAAAUCAAACCCCGUUUCUCCAACUCUAAACCCUAGAUUUCUACUACAGUUUUGAAGAGGAUAUUUGGACCGAGAUCGCGAAAUAUUUAGACGGAAAAGCUAUAGUGAUGCUUGGAACAUCUUGUGGUUGGUUUCGUAAUGUAAGUUUGGAAGAAAACAGUGUUUUGAAAUUUGCUUGUUUACGUGAUCUUCAAAUUCCUCCGAUUCGCCAACAAGUCACCUUCUAAUGGAUCCACCUCUACGUAUCAACAUUUGAUGGGAGUCAUUCUUAUCUUUUUAGGCAACAAGACAAGCACAUUGGUAAUUAGAAAUACACACUGUUUGCUUAAAGAGUAAAGAGGAGCCGAAUAAGCUGGUUAUCGACAUUUCAUCACCAAAUACUCCAGGGUUGCGUAAGCUUCAAGGACGAGAACAACUUAAGGAUCUUGUUGAAAAGGUACAAGCUGCUCGUGACGGAAUGUGAUGGGGAGAGGAAGGCCCUCCUCCGCUGCUUGUGAAAAUUGAUCUAGACUUGUCCAAGCUUGAUCUGGAAGAUAUUGCAGUGUCAAGUUCUACAUCUGAUAUAUAAUUAUACAAGUGAAGUUUUUGAAGAAGAGUAAGAAUUGAACAAGAGAAUCUCCAAAAUCAACGUAUCUGAUGGUUGCUAUAUUUAUUUUGCCAUCGAAAACUUUGGUAGGGAAGUUGUUUUGGAAAUGAAGUAUGGCUCUACCAAGAUUGUGAGCGAUGAAGAGUUUGUGGCCAAAGAGGUUGAGUUGGAAGAUCCAGUUGAAAACAUCAGUGCUAAGUUGGUGAGACAAGCUGAUGCUAAGUAUACGAGUCUAGUUGAUGAGAAGCCAAAGGAUUCUCCUUCUUCAAUGAGCACUAAGAGUGUGCAUGAGCGUCUAGCAGAAGAGGAUGAGACCAGAAGUUUGGGCUGGCUCCCUGCAUCAGGUUGACUACGCAACAAUUUUAGAAAGUUAGUAUGUUAAAUCAAUCAUAAUUCAGCUCCCCUACUCCGAGAUUAUCUUCAAGCCCUACGCGGUAUUAGUUCAUCUCAUCUAAUGUUGCAAUUAUCUUCAAGCCCUACGCGGUAUUAGUUCAUCUCAUUUAAUGUUGCAAGUUCGAUGUAGUAUUCAAAUGUAUUUCUAUCUUUGAUCUCCUGUGGAGCGUAUAAGUUGUAUAUGUAAUCCAUGUUGGAAGAGAGAACAUUGGAUUUGUCGUUGGAUUCAACGGAGCAGGUGCACAUUUUUGUAAUACCGGAAUUUUGGAAAGUAAAAAUCGUAUUUUUUUAUU